rnacentral:rRNA from 1 species
AGCAGCCGCCACGGUAAUACGAGGGGGGCAAGCGUUAAUCGGAAUUACUGGGCGUAAAGCGCACGCAGGCGGUUUGUUAAGUCAGAUGUGAAAUCCCCGAGCUUAACUUGGGAACUGCAUUUGAAACUGGCAAGCUAGAGUCUUGUAGAGGGGGGUAGAAUUCCAGGUGUAGCGGUGAAAUGCGUAGAGAUCUGGAGGAAUACCGGUGGCGAAGGCGGCCCCCUGGACAAAGACUGACGCUCAGGUGCGAAAGCGUGGGGAGCAAACAGGAUUAGAUACCCCAGUAGUCCCUGUCUCUUAUAC